rnacentral:rRNA from 1 species
GAAGCGGCAAAAGCUCAAAUUUGAAAUCUAGCACUUUCAGUGUUCGAGUUGUAAUUUGAAGAAGGUAUCUUUGGAGUUGGCCCCCGUCUAUGUUCCUUGGAACAGGACGUCACAGAGGGUGAGAAUCCCGUGCGAUGGGGAGACCAAUUCUAUGUAAAGUUCCUUCGAAGAGUCGAGUUGUUUGGGAAUGCAGCUCUAAGUGGGUGGUAAAUUCCAUCUAAAGCUAAAUAUUGGCGAGAGACCGAUAGCGAACAAGUACAGUGAUGGAAAGAUGAAAAGAACUUUGAAAAGAGAGUGAAAAAGUACGUGAAAUUGUUGAAAGGGAAGGGCUUUUGAUCAGACUUGGUGUUUAGUACUCUCUGCUCCUUGUGGGUGGGGCUCUUGCUUUAUACUGGGCCAGCAUCGGUUUGGAUGGUAGGAUAAUAGCAUUGGAAUGUGGCUUCAUUCGUGGAGUGUUAUAGCCUUUGUUGAUACUACCUAUCUAGACCGAGGACUGCGUCUUUGACUAGGAUGCUGGCGUAAUGAUUAAAAGCCGCCCGUCUUG